GAUGAAGAACGUAGCGAAAUGCGAUAAGUAAUGUGAAUUGCAGAAUUCAGUGAAUCAUCGAAUCUUUGAACGCACAUUGCGCCCGCCAGUAUUCUGGCGGGCAUGCCUGUUCGAGCGUCAUUUCAACCCUCAGGGCCCUUUUGGACCUGGCGUUGGGGCUCGGCCGCUACCCUGCGGCCGUCCCCGAAAGAUAGUGGCGGUCUCGCUGUAGCCUCCUCUGCGUAGUAGUUACAUCUCGCACUGGAACGCGGCGCGGCCAUGCCGUUAAACACCCCUCUUCUCAAGGUUGACCUCGGAUCAGGUAGGAAUACCCGCUGAACUUAAGCAUAUCAAUAAGCGGAGGA
rnacentral:misc_RNA from 1 species